CCCCCUUCAGAGUCAUCUCUCCUUGCAGAGCCCUGACAUGAAGAAGAACAAGACAUUCUCAGUCUAGUAGAAGAAAUCAAAGAUGUUGCUUUCCAUCCUUCUGAAGUUGGUCAUGGCUGCCAUGUGGCUGGGAUCUAAUAUUGCCCAGAAGGUUACUCAAGACCAACCAGCAAUGUUAGUGCAGGAGAAGGAAUCCGUUACCUUGGAAUGCAAAUAUAGCACCAGUGAUUCAGCUUAUAGUCUAUUCUGGUACAAGCAGCUCAGCAGUGGAGCAAUGAUUUUCCUUAUUCGUCAGGACUCUUACAGCCCGCAAAAUGCCACAGAAGGUCGCUACACUUUGAAUUUUGAGAAAGCAAAGAGUUCUGUCAACCUUGUCAUCUCAGCUUCACAGCUGGAGGACUCCGCAUUGUAUUUCUGUGCCCUGAGAGAGACCACAGUGAGAGGUGUGUUGGAAGGAGCUGUAUCAAAACCUCAGGGCUCUGCUUGGUGCAUCCACCUGCUAUGAAGACCAAGGCCAGGAAUUGCCAUCAGAGACAGGAAGUGGUGAAGUCUGUGGCAGCAUAGGCAGGUAGUGCUAAGGGCAAAUAAUCUAAGAAAAAAUACCUGUGUAGUUUCAUAUACCAUGUCAAGA